UACAAGGGUGACCAAAUGUCCUGAUAUUCAGGGCUUUUUCUUAUAUAGGUGCCUAUUGCACCUGACUCUCUGUCCUGAUUUUCCGCACUUGCUAUCUCGUCAC